rnacentral:rRNA from 1 species
GGGCCAUUUUGAGUAUGAGGAGUUGGUUGUUGCUGGCCUUGGGGUAUUUUUUUAAUUAAUUAUUCCGGGGCACUUGUGCACGCCUUCUCUUUCAUCCACACACACCUGUGCACUUGUGAGGCAGAUGGCUGGAGUUCUUUAUUAAUUUAUUGGACUCCUGACUCUGUCUACUUAAUUUACACACACUCUAUUUAAUUUAAACUGAAUGUAAUUGAUGUAACGCAUCUAAUACUAAGUUUCAACAACGGAUCUCUUGGCUCUCGCAUCGAUGAAAAACGCAGCGAAAUGCGAUAAGUAAUGUGAAUUGCAAAAUUCAGUGAAUCAUCGAAUCUUUGAACGCACCUUGCGCUCCUUGGUAUUCCUUGGAGCAUGCCUGUUUGAGUAUCAUGAAAUCUUCAAAGUAAACCUUUUGUUAAUUCAAUUGGUUCCUUACUUUGGUAUUGGAGGUCUUUGCAGCUUCACACCUGCUCCUCUUUGUUCAUUAGCUGGAUCUCAGUGUUAUGCUUGGUUCCACUCAGCGUGAUAAGUAUCUAUCGCUGAGGACACUGUAAAAAGGUGGCCAAGGUAAAUGCAGAUGAACCGCUUCUAACAGUCCAUUGACUUGGACAAAUUAAAUUUUUAUGAUCUGAUCUCAAAUCAGGUAGGACUACCCGCUGAACUUAAGCAUAUCAUAAGGGCGAGAGAAA